GAUGAACGCUGGCGGCGUGCCUAGUACAUGCCAGUCGAGCGAACAGACGAGGAGCUUGCUCCUCUGACGUUAGCGGCGGACGGGUGAGUAGCACGUGGAUAACCUACCUAUAAGACUGGGAUAACUUCGGGAAACCGGAGCUAAUACCGGAUAAUAUAUUGAACCGCAUGGUUCAAUAGUGAAAGACGGUUUUGCUGUCACUUAUAGAUGGAUCCGCGCCGCAUUAGCUAGUUGGUAAGGUAACGGCUUACCAAGGCAACGAUGCGUAGCCGACCUGAGAGGGUGAUCGGCCACACUGGAACUGAGACACGGUCCAGACUCCUACGGGAGGCAGCAGUAGGGAAUCUUCCGCAAUGGGCGAAAGCCUGACGGAGCAACGCCGCGUGAGUGAUGAAGGUCUUCGGAUCGUAAAACUCUGUUAUUAGGGAAGAACAAAUGUGUAAGUAACUAUGCACGUCUUGACGGUACCUAAUCAGAAAGCCACGGCUAACUACGUG
rnacentral:rRNA from 1 species